rnacentral:ncRNA from 1 species
AAAAAAGUUAAAAUAUAAAAUUUUAGUCGGAUUGUCAUCUGCAAUUCGGUGGCAUGAAGAAGGAAUUUCGAGUAAUCGUUGAUCACUACGCAACGGUGAAGAUUUAAUUCGUGAUGAACUAACUGUCUGUCGCUGGGAAGAAGCUUAAAUAGGAGGAAACUGGAGGAAAAUUAUACUUUACAUAAUUAAGUUUAUUUGAAUGAUUUGUUUUGGCAGGUCAGUUUCAAAUUCAAACAUCUAUGUUAGUUUAGUUUACUUUAGUUAAUUCAUUUGUGUAACAUUUCAAAAGUCAUAGCAAGGUAGCUGUUCGGGAACGAGCAGCUGUAUAAUACAAAUU